UCCGUAGGUGAACCUGCGGAAGGAUCAUUAGUGAUUUGGCCGAGAGGCCUUUAUCCAAUCCUCACACCUGUGAACACGUCGGUGGGCUCUAGGGCCCGCCGUACAUAUACAAACUUAUGUGUAAUGAACGUCUUUUUAAACAUAACAAAAACAAAACUUUCAACAACGGAUCUCUUGGCUCUCGCAUCGAUGAAGAACGCAGCGAAAUGCGAUAAGUAAUGUGAAUUGCAGAAUUCAGUGAAUCAUCGAAUCUUUGAACGCACCUUGCGCCUCUUGGUAUUCCGAGAGGCAUGCCUGUUUGAGUGUCAUGAAACAUCAAUCCCACGGGUUUUCUGAUCUGUGUGGACUUGGACCUGGGCGCUGCCUGCCUGUCAAGGCUCGCCUCAAAUGACUCAGUGGGAACUUCUUGACCUACGCCCGACGUAAUAAGUUUCGUCUUGGCCGGUCCUGAGGCCCGCUCACAACCCCCCACAUCUUUUGACACUGACCUCAAAUCAGGUAGGGCUACCCGCUGAACUUAAGCAUAUCAAUAAGCGGAGGA
rnacentral:rRNA from 1 species